rnacentral:lncRNA from 1 species
GAAUUAAUUAACCAAUCCCACCCAAAGAAACUCUACGAAGUUAGUAAACAGUUAGUGCACCAAGGAUCCGGCAUUAAUUAACCAAUCCCACCCAAAGAAACUCUACGAAGUUAGUAAACAGUUAGUGCACCAAGGAUCCGGCAUUCACGCAGAGUACGGAGAAGGACCGCAUAUUAAGGGGUGUGAUGUAGACAAUCUACCCUAAUGCACGCAUUAAUGGCUGCUUCCACAGCUCGAACUGGUCACAGGGAGACAACUUUACCGUUGCUCCAAGGCUCCAAGACAAUUUUACAGAGUUAGUAAACAGUGUCCAAAAUUCUAACAAGAACCUGGCAUUGCCCAUCUUCCCAAGUGAAAGCUUUUUAAUGCAAGUCAAGGCAUGUUAACCACCAAGUUACCGACCCUCUCAAAUUCACAUAAAAAUCAAAGUAAGGAGCAUAAUAAAUUUGCAAAUCGGAUCCCCUGUACUUUGUCACCACAUAUGAGAAGAUGAAACAGAAAAAAAAAAGAUCAAGAAGCUGAUAGUAAGCACCAAGAGCAAACACAGUACCGAAUUCUUGGACAGUGACCCUAAUGGGCUUGAACUGGUAAGCAAAAUUCCACUUUCCAUGAAUGGGUCCAAUCCACUAUGAAAAAUUAUGUAAACACUUGUAAAGCUUAGAGAAAUCAGUAAUAAAAGUUCAAAUUCAAGCUGUCACUCUUUAAUAUCUGCUUCAUACACUUGUCUUUUUAGGAUAAAUGGAGAAGGUCAGCAAUUAUGAGCUUAGAUACUUAAACAGGAAAAAGUCAGAGAGG